AGACCAUCGGAAAAACCGUGCAGAGAUAUGAAACCUCACCUUGCCAUGGCAAUGCAUAGAGAGGCAGAAUUUUGUUUGAGGAUGAAACGGUUGCGCCUCAUUCCAGAAACAACGCUAUCAGGAUGUGAGCCAACUUGUGUCUGAACUCGAGGCCACACUACUGCUCUUGCCAUGACUCCCUGGCCCUCAGGACCUCUUGUAGCGUGACUGGCGGAAGGGGAACGCAGAGCACCGCUUCAGUUACCUCCUACUGCUCCAUUCCCUGCGAUAGUGUUCCACCACCGCUGCCUCAGCCAAAAAUGAGAUGGUUUGCAAGUCCUGCUGAUCACGUGGGGAACCAAUCAUCCCAGUCCAAUGAAUGAUACCUGGAACUGGGUGUUCCCAAUCAAGGCGGAGGCCACUGUCAAAAGCCAUGAAGCAGUGAGCAGAUGCUAACGUGAUCCACUGGGGCCUACGGUAUCACGAAGUUCCAGAUGACCGCUAGUUUCCUGUCUACGCUGGAUACCAUGGGUCAUGUCUUGCCUGUUUGCAGGGUUGCACCAAGCCAUUUACUCUUUAGCAGGUAGUUGACACUUAAUUCACCAAGUAAGUGUUGGCUCAGGGCAAAUAUCCGUAGAUUAUAUGUCUGUCUUUCAUUCACUUUCUCUGUCUCUCCCUCUCUGUCUCUGUGUCACUCUCUGUUACUUGCUCACUGUCUCUGUCACUUAGCUCACUCGCUCACUCUUGUUCUCUCACACUCUUUCUCACCUCUCUCACUUACUAUCUCUCUCUCUCUCUCUCUAAUAAUGUGACUUGAAGUGAACUAAGUGAACUAAGCAUUGGGAAAAAUAUAAGAUACAAUCCCUAUCCCAUAUGGGACUCAAAGC
rnacentral:lncRNA from 1 species